AUCGGAUUACUCUGUAUUUGAAGAUGAAUCAGAGAAAAAUUUAUUUGUCUCGAGAAUAUACGGAAUUGUAAUAUCAGAGACACUAUUCGCAGCAGCUAUGGCUACAGGACUCAAUAUGAAGUGAGAUGAAUUAAUAUUUUUCAGAUUAAAGACGAAAAAUAUUUAAACAUUGUGUACUUUCACCAUUCAACUGAGUUUAUUCUGCUUUCUUUUGAGCUAUGGAUCUGAAAAAAAUUAAAUCACAUUGAAUGGAUUUAAUUAUGUAGUUUAUAUAUAUUAUACAGAGAAAUCUUCUGUAUUUCAGUUCUUACAUAAGAGAAAUGUUCAGUUUAUCUUCAGUUGAAAGAAUUGCUGCCAGGCAAAGUAUGCUUUUUGGUCCUGUACGUCCUACUGCUUUGUUAUCAUAGAAUAAGAAAUUAUUAUCCAAUAAACAAGAUACUAUUGGCUGUUUUGCCAAUUACCGUGGGCUUUCUUGGUGGAGGAUUGUGGGCUAAUGAGCGGCGUUACAUCAUACUCUAUUCGCUUGCAGCUGAUAUUAUUUUAAUACUGUUAAUUACAUUACUAGUAAAAUUUGAGAAGAUAUUUUUUUUACGGUUCGGUGGAAUUGUUACUAUCGGCUACUACUUGUUGUCAUUGUAUGCGAUAUUUAUCGGAUACUGGCAAAUGUUUUACCAGUUUUAUUAUUUAAUCGUUUCAUUUGCUAUGUUGUCUUUUAUAUUGAGCUUAAUGUUGUAUGGUUAUCUCAGCAGUUGUAUCAUUGGGAAAAAUACCGAGAAUCUGAAUUGGAUCUUGCGCAUGAAUGACACUGCAGAUGGAGCAUGCAUUGUAAUAUCUCAAUUCAUGUUUGUAUCAAUUUGCUUGAGUUUAUUGAAUUGUAAUACUGUGAUGAGUUUCUUACUGGAAACAUAACUGUCCUUGGUAACAGAUUUUGUGUCGGGAAAAAUGGACAGAUUGCAACAAACUGCUCGUUAAUUUCAAAUCAUCUUGGUCAAUUUGAACAAAACUAUGGACAAAUUUCUAAUCUCUACACAUAUGGGCAAAUUGUUGAAUCACUACCUUGUGCAUCUCUGUAAUAUGCAUGUGUCACACUUCUGAACCGUUCCUGUCCCGCUGUAUCCCAAAUUUGAAGCUUGACUUUUGCAUCGUCC
rnacentral:misc_RNA from 1 species